rnacentral:misc_RNA from 1 species
UUAAGUUCAGCGGGUAUCCCUACCUGAUCCGAGGUCAAUCAUUGAAAAGUUUGGGCGUUGAUGGCCGGCCGCGGGGGGGCUUCCAAAGCGGGAGAUAAUUUACUACGCUCGAAGCCACACCGGACCGCCACUGACUUUCGGGUCGCCCCGGGGGGCGAGGACCCAAUACCAAGCUGAGCUUGAGGGGUGCAAUGACGCUC